rnacentral:rRNA from 1 species
GACGAACGCUGGCGGCGUGCCUAAUACAUGCAAGUCGAGCGGAAGAAUCGAAAGCUUGCUUUUGAUUCGUUAGCGGCGGACGGGUGAGUAACACGUGGGCAACCUGCCCUGUAGACGGGGAUAACACCGAGAAAUCGGUGCUAAUACCGGAUAACACGAAAUGUCGCAUGACGUUUCGUUGAAAGACGGCGCAAGCUGUCGCUACAGGAUGGGCCCGCGGCGCAUUAGCUAGUUGGUGAGGUAACGGCUCACCAAGGCGGCGAUGCGUAGCCGACCUGAGGGGGUGAUCGCCCACACGGGGACUGGGACACGGCCCAGACGCCUGCGGGAGGCAGCAGUAGGGAAUCGUCCGCAAUGGACGAAAGUCUGACGGAGCGACGCCGCGUGAGCGAAGAAGGCCUUCGGGUCGUAAAGCUCUGUUGUUAGGGAAGAACAAGUAACGCAGUAACUGGCGUUACCGUGACGGUACCUAACGAGAAAGCCACGGCUAACUACGUG